CCCUUAGAUGUUCUGGGCCGCACGCGUGCUACACUGAGUGGAUCAGCGGGUCAGGUUGCGCGAAAGUGUUUCCUAAUCUUUAAAUCCGCUCGUGAUGGGGAUUGACGGUUGCAAUUUUCCGUCAUGAACGAGGAAUACCUUGUAAGCGCGGGUCAUCAUCCCGCGCUGAAUACGUCCCUGCCCUUUGUACACACCGCCCGUCGCUCCUACCGAUUGAGUGGUCCGGUGAGGCUUUGGGAUCUGAGCGGAAAGAGCGUUUCGCUGUUUCUGCCCGGAAAACUCAGUCGAACCUUAUCAUUUAGAGGAAGGAGAAGGCGUAAC
rnacentral:rRNA from 1 species